rnacentral:misc_RNA from 1 species
UACGGAGGGUGCAAGCGUUAAUCGGAAUUACUGGGCGUAAAGCGCGCGUAGGCGGCUCGAUAAGUCGGAUGUGAAAGCCCCGGGCUUAACCUGGGAACUGCAUUCGAUACUGCCGAGCUAGAGUGUGGAAGAGGGAAGUGGAAUUCCGGGUGUAGCGGUAAAAUGCGUAGAUAUCCGGAGGAACACCAGUGGCGAAGGCGACUUCCUGGGCCAACACUGACGCUGAGGUGCGAAAGCGUGGGGAGCAAACAGG